UACUGCCUUUACAUACAAUUUGUACAAAUACUGAUGCGCUAUGGAUGCAAAAAAGUAGAAAAGUUGACAGGCAUAAAUUUCUCUACAAACUCUCAACAGGAACUUUUAACUGUGUUUAUAUUCACACAUCCUCUUACUUUUACUGUUACCGCCAUGUCAUAAAGGUUUACUUGAAAAUUAUGUUUUAUACAAAGUACGCAUUACAGACAUGGCAUGUCGAAAGCCAACGAUAUUGUAAAGUAAAAACCUAAUAAUAGUAUUAUUAAUGCCACAAACCAUGAAGAAAAUUAAAGGACUAGUAAACACAUUUUUAAAUUCAGUAAUCGUCAAUCACAACACCGCUUCUUUGCUUUGACCGUUUGUUUUUUUUGUUAUGCUUUUUUGAAGUUGCAGAGGAAAGUGCUUCGGGUGAAACACCAAGCUCUAAAGCUGUCAAUUGGCGAGCCUUCCUGCGUGAAAGUGGUUUGCCUUGAGCAUUCAUCGGGUACUUCGGAGAUGCAUCAUCAUUCAAACGACGUUGGAAAGGCUGCAUAGUAUUACGGCCUUUAUAAACGGGUCCUUGCAUGGCAACAGCGGUACCUUUUACCAUUGGGCGCACAUGCGGGUUUUCCUGAAAAUACUCGUCGUCAACAAGCUGACUUUCAGCUGACAACGUAUUGUCGGAUAUCGCUGUUCGUUGUAACUUUUCAGUAAUCGAGUCAGACGUAGCAGAAACAAUCUUUUGGUGAUGUUCUUUGUUAAAUUCAGAGCCAGAAUUUGGAUAGUUAGGUGGAGGAUGGACGUAAAGAAGUUUACCGUUUACAUAGUCCUUCAAAAGAAUACGGGCUGCUCGUGAAUCAUCAGGUGUACCGUGAUGUGCACGCAUAAAACCACGAGAUCUAGCAAAAGGAAAAAGAACUUCUUGAGCAGACGGAACUCCAGUGCCACCUUCCUCAAUCGGUUUAAUACGAAUCCUUAUAGUAUAUAAUGUCUCAAGAACUUCCUUAGGAAUUCUUUCAGCCAUUAAUGCCGAUGGGCCUGUGUAUUCACGAAGUUGAUCAAUUGGCAGUACGCCAUCUAGUACCAGAUCUGCCUGAGUAGUUGCGAAAGAAGGAAACACCAAACCUGGACAAUCCAAUAAUGAUACUUUUUCACUUAAGUUGAUAGUUUGAAAAUGCUUGGUCUUUCCAGGAGUAGAAGAUACAGAUACCUUCUUAGAGCCGACCAAUGCAUUAAUAGUAGAAGACUUACCGACAUUCGGAUAACCCACCAGCCCAAAUGUCAUUUUAGUCUUUCCAUCAGGAAGGGUAGAAGCAAACUUUUCAAAUAUACCUUCAAGGACCUUUAAUGUGGCGAUACGACUAGAAUGGACGUCGUUUUCAUCUGCCUGUAGGCUUUCAGGGAUUUCAUUUGAUGAAGUGGAUUCAUAGGUUUCCAGAUCCUCGCCCCUUUCAUUAGCUUCCGCAGCCAUACGAGCUGAAAAAAAUAGAAAAGGAAUAUUAUUUUCAUUGAAGUAAGAUGACCAGUAGUUACGCUGCUCUUCUGUUAACAUGUCUGCUUUGUUCACCAAAAGAAAAUUUUUUUUACUAGGACCAACUUCUUUAACGUAUUGUUCAAGGUGUGCUGAGCGAAAAAAGAGCGGAUUUCGAGCAUCUACUAUUUGAACAACAACAUCUGAUCGUUCAAUAACACGCCAUAGUUGACGCCAUAUUUCAAGGUUUCUCUCAAACGGUGUCACAAUGAAACCCUCAACAUCUUGAAGCUGUGCUAAAUUUCUACGCCAAUUUAAAAAUGAUUCACGCUCCAUCCUAUCUAACUCGACAGCUGUCGUUGUUUGAUCCCAAUGAGGACGUCUGGGAAUCGUCAAACGAUCUUUGUUUUUUUCUUGUUUUUGCUUUGAACGAGCAGCCUCCUCUUUACUAAGUAGAAAGGGAUUUUGCUCUGGAUUUUGAAUCACAGUAACAUUUUGUUUCUCUGCGAUAAACUCGACUUCUCCUAAUUCGGCAGUAUUUAAGAAUUCAUCCAGAUCCGUUUCAUGGGUAACCGAACGUAGAGCAGCACGAUGUGCCUUGGGAUCUGAAUCAACUAUAUGUUUUAAACCACCUUUACGAUUUCUCCUGUUCUUGGUAAAAUCUGAUUGAAUCGCUCUACCCAGUCCAAUUUGAUUUUUCGAUUUUGGAAGAACCUACUCAAUGACAAUUAGCAAAAAGCUUUCAAUUGA
rnacentral:lncRNA from 1 species